GACGAACGCUGGCGGCGUGCUUAACACAUGCAAGUCGAACGGAAAGGCCCUGCUUUCAGGGUACUCGAGUGGCGAACGGGUGAGUAACACCUGGGUGAUGUGCCCUGCACUUCGGGCUAAGCCUGGACAACUGGGUCGAAUACCGGAUAGGAGCCAAAUUUAGUGUGACGGUUGGACAGAUUUUUCGGUGUAGGAUGAGGUUGCGGCCUAUCAGCUUGUUGGUGGGGUAAUGGCCUACCAAGGCGGCGACGGGUAGCCGGCCUGAGAGGGUGGACGGCCACAUUGGGACUGAGACACGGCCCAGACUCCGACGGGAGGGAGCAGUGGGGAAUAUUGCACAAGGGGCGCAAGCCUGAUGCAGCGACGCCGCGGGGGGGAGGACGGCCUUCGGGUUGGAAACUCAUUUCGCUAGGGACGAAGCUUUUUGUGACGGUACCUAGAUAAGAAGCACCGGCUAACUACGUG
rnacentral:rRNA from 1 species